rnacentral:rRNA from 1 species
AACGAACGCUGGCGGCAGGCUUAACACAUGCAAGUCGAGCGCAUCCUUCGGGGUGAGCGGCGGACGGGUGAGUAACGCGUGGGAACGUGCCCUCUUCUACGGAAUAGCCUCGGGAAACUGAGAGUAAUGCCGUAUACGCCCGCAAGGGGAAAGAUUUCUCGGAGGAGGAUCGGCCCGCGGUGGAUUAGGUAGUUGGUGGGGUAACGGCCUACCAAGCCGACGAUCCAUAGCUGGUUUGAGAGGAUGAUCAGCCACACUGGGACUGAGACACGGCCCAGACUCCUACGGGAGGCAGCAGUGGGGAAUCUUGGACAAUGGGGGCAAACCUGAUCCAGCCAUGCCGCGUGAUCGAUGAAGGCCUUAGGGUUGUAAAGAUCUUUCAGCUGGGAAGAUAAUGACGGUACCAGCAGAAGAAGCCCCGGCUAACUACGUG